GCCGGUUCGGGCGGUUGGGGGUCACAGACACUCCGCUUCCUAGUGAGGAGAGGAAGAGAAGGGCGAGAGAGCCGUCGUUUCCAGGCCAGGCGCCCUCACUGACGUCACAGAUCCCCGCGGGCCUCUUCCGAGGCGGGAAAGCUGAGCGCUCAGGCGGAAGUGACGCACCCGCGAGUUCCGCAAAGUACCCGCGUUUUGAGCUUAGCGGUCUGGGCUGGGUCGGACACUUAAUUACCGCCCGAGAGGGGGACGCCAGAAUUUCGGUGCUUUGCGGCAGGGAUCCAAGCCAGUCCGCCGAGCCUCCGCGGCCGACGAGAGAACCGAAGCUCGGCCUGCGGGAGAGGCCGGGAAGCUUGGGCGGGGCGAGGGGCGCGGAGGAAAGGGUGCCUGCGGGCCAUGGCGCCACCUCGGGGGGUGGGUCCCGCGUUUCUGCGGUUUGCAGCCGCCGCCAGCUGGCUGGUCGUCCGCCAGCGUCGCGUGGAGCACUUCCCCAAAGUGGUAGAGUUUCUGCAGUUCCUGCGCGCAGCUGCUCCCGGCUUGGUUUGCUACCGACACCACGAACGGCUGUGCAUAGGCCUAAAAGCCAAGGUGGUGGUGGAGUUGAUCCUGCAGGAGCAACCCUGGGACCAGGUCCUGAAGGCCCUGGAUCAUCACUUCCCAGAGUUUAGAGCAGAACCACUGGACCCUGCAACUAAAAGGCAAGAUGGGAAAAUUUUGGAAGCCCGGGAGAAUUUUUGCCUGCAAGUGAAGCAGCUGUCAAAGGCUGAGGAUUUGGCCUCGAGCCUGCCGACACUCAAACAAGACUAUGGGGAACCCUUUGUGGUUGCCAUGGAAAAGCUGUUGUUUGAAUACUUGUGUCAGCUAGAAAAAGCACUGCCUACAGUCAAGGCACAAGAGUUUCAGGAUGCCCUAAGUUGGCUUCAGCCUGGCUGUUUUGCCGCCUCUUCUGUUGCUUUGCGCCAGUAUGGUAUGAAUAUGGGAUGGCCAUUUCCAGAGAGCUCUGCUUCUGGCUCAGUUAAUCUGACAGAACCCGUGGAACAGAGUCCUCAUCAGCAAGCAGAACCAGCACUCCACAGUCCUCUGCCUAAAGCUAAGCCUGGCCUUCACCAGCCAGCUUCACGGGAGCACCCAGAACAUUUAGCUGGCAGCCGCUUUAACCUGGCCCCUCUAGGGAAGCGAAAAUUGCGAUCACAGUGGACAUCUGCAAAGGGAUGUCAUAAAGAGCGGCCUACAGUCAUGCUGUUCCCCUUUAGGAAUAUGGACUUAACGGCCCAAAAUACAUCUAACUGGAAAAGCAGGGAAGAGCAUGAAGUGGACGCAGCGGGUUCUGUGGGUACAAAAACAGUCUCCACUGGGAAAUCCAGGACUGCAUCUCAGACCACGGGGAAAAGGGCUCCAGAAGAGAGCCUCCCUGACGUACCUGCUGCAGAGCAAAUGGAGAACUCUGUGAAUUGCUACAUGGAUCCUCUGAGACUGUCAUUAUCACCUCCUAGACCCAAGAAACCAGUGGCAGUGCAGGCUCCGUCUCUGUGUGACUCUGUUAUUACCAUAGGGGACAGGGUUUUGGACUCUGAUGAGGAAGAAAAUAACCAGAGGGAAAGAAAGGACAGCUGCAGCCUCCGUCCUACAAAGUAACAAACACUGUGAGAGACAGCAUGGACUUCUCAAGGCUUCACAACUGCCCAUAUCAAAAUGGACAUGAAUUCAGCUCCUGACAGGGACUUUACUGGGGCUGCACACCACAGAAAACAUAGCUGCUAAGGCAGCCAGCCCUUGGGUCUUACUGAAAUGAUAUGGCCUCUGAGGCCAUGAGCAGCAUCUGCACACUCCAUCACUGCGCUGAGCUGUGGAUACCCCACUCCAGUUUUCUUCCGAGUUGUACAAACAGAGCCUGGGAAGGAUGUGACAGGUCACUACUUCCCAGUCCUGAAGCCCCCUGCCUUCAGAGGAAAAGAAAAGACAAUGAAAUGUGGGCUAAACCUCCAUCUGCCUAACUGCUUGGACAGUGUGGGCAUUCCCUUCAAUGCUGUGAAGAAAAUGAAGCCGUAGGUUGUUUCUAACAGGCCUCCAAAGGAAUAAAACAUGGUUUUAUACGA